CAGGGCCCAUAUAUCAUGGCUUAACACAAAAUGGGGUUUGUCAAGGGUGUAAGAACAGAUGAACUGGUCAUAACAAACAAGUCCGGGACCAUCAAUGGAAGAUGAUAAAGGUACAUUCUGUGAGAGAUGGGACCUCAUCUGUUUCAUCCACCCUUGGAUUCGUGGCACACCUAGCAUAGCACCUGGCACAGAGGAGCGACACAAUAAAUGUGAAAUGAGUGACUGAUUUCAUCUGGCUGCCCUGACUAUACACAACAUAAACGCCGUCCACACUGAUUUGAUCUCAUUUAAUUACUUUUUUUUUCCUUUUUAAGUUAAAUUUCUCCACUGUUAAAAGUUUUCCAGUUGGCAAAAAUGCAGUCUACAGAAGGUUAGAUUCCAAUCUUAUACACAU